GGAUGUGAGGGUGAUCUGGCUGCGACAUCUGUCACCCCAUUGAUCGCCAGGGUUGAUUCCGCUGAUCUGGCUGGCUAGGCUGGUGUCCCCUUCCUCCCUCACCGCUCCAUGUGCGUCCCUCCCAAAACUGCACGCUUGGUCAAAGAGGAUGGCCUUCCCCGAAUCGAGACAGGCCAGUCUUGGGUCAAGGGUAUACAUGUGAGUAGCUGUGCCUCCCUGCUAGAACCUCCAAACAAGCUCUCAAGAAAGAACAUGGAGUCCAUAAUCUCAGAUCUGGCUGUUCAGACCCCAGCGGAUUCUGCUGGCAUCU
rnacentral:snRNA from 1 species